UACAGAGGGGGCAAGCGUUGUUCGGAAUUACUGGGCGUAAAGGGCGCGUAGGCGGCCUGUUAAGUCGAACGUGAAAUCCCCGGGCUCAACCCGGGAACUGCGUCCGAUACUGGCAGGCUUGAAUCCGGGAGAGGGAUGUGGAAUUCCAGGUGUAGCGGUGAAAUGCGUAGAUAUCAGGAGGAACACCGGUGGCGAAGGCGGCUCUCUGGACCACAACUGACGCUGAGGCGCGAAAGCUAGGGGAGCAAACAGG
rnacentral:rRNA from 1 species